rnacentral:lncRNA from 1 species
AGGAACUUCAUCUGAGCUAAUGCCAAGCAGCAGUAAAGGCCCAGCUGAGGAUAAAUACCUUGAACCAUUUAGUGAGCUUAGCUUGCACAAUUUUUCAAUGUUCUCCAACAGCUCUCUGCGGCCUGGGAGCAAGAGCACAAAGAAGAUACAUAGAUGGGAGAUUGGGUGGUCAGGCCUGGAACUUGGUCAUGGCGGACAGUCAUGCAGAUGAGGGAUUCACUGAAGGGGCUAGGUGGGAAUGUGGACUUGGAGGUGGUGGGAAUGAGGCAGACUUCUUGGAAGUGAAGGAGAUUAUCUUAGAAGAAAAGGAAGAAAGCAAGCCUUGGAAGCAGCUAUGUUUAAAGAGAAAGACAAGUCAGUGAAGGAGACAGAGAUAUGGAGGUGAGAGAGGUGAAGGAAGAUCCCAGAAGGCAAGAAGCAUUCACCAGCACGAAGACAAUGCAGCUUCUGGUUCCAGGAAGGUGGGUCUAGAACCUAGCUAGACCUAUCUAGAACCUCAACUUUUGUAACUAUCUAUGGAGACAAUUUGCUUAGGAAGAGUUCAAGUUCUAGCACUAGGCAUCAGUCCUCUCUUGCAGAUGAACUUUAUCCACAGUAUUUGCCCUCCAUCUUCUCUUUUACUUAAAGCUGAUAUACCCAAAUUGGAAGCAAAAGAAACUGGACACGGGACCAGGAGCCUCAGCAAAACCUGCUGCAACAGAGCUCCCAGAGGCCCCUUCAGAUGCUGCUUGUUUUUUUCUUCAAAUUGAGCCUUUGUUGAAAGAAAUAUUUUCCUAUAUUUUGCAGGGAUUUUAGCAGGAGCAAGCAGGAAGCACUAAGGCAGAGAGAGAAAAUUCUGGAACCCUGAAGAGGCUGAGUCAUUGGAGGAUGCAGGCAGUUUCUUCUCAGGAGCAGACAGGGCGGUUGGUGGGAUUGCUCUCUGGAGCAGCACUAUGUGAUCUUCCUUCAAGCAAGUUCAUCUUCUGGGAAGUGGUAAAGAUUGGUUAACACUCCACAGGUGGACUGUGUGAGUCAAACCAUUAUUGGCCUCUCUGUCCCUGUGUGGUCCUGCUACUGCUGUGAUCUCUACUAGGACUCCUACCAGACUCAAGAGGACACAGGCUGUGGGACCACCCUUUGACCCUUGUUCCUGUUACCAAAUUUUAAUAUGUUAACUAAGGGGGUUAAUUUGAAUAGUUAUAGGAAGUAGACUUCUAGGUAGUGAAAUCAGUAGGUAGUGGGGUUUAGCACUUUGGCCCUGGGUUAAGAUCAGAUCAUCCAUAUUCCCAUCCCUUCUUCCCUUACCUUAAAUAAACUAUUAUUUUAGUUAUGUUUAGAUAUGUUA